GAGUUUGAUCUUGGCUCAGAUUGAACGCUGGCGGCAGGCCUAACACAUGCAAGUCGAGCGGUAGAGAGAAGCUUGCUUCUCUUGAGAGCGGCGGACGGGUGAGUAAUGCCUAGGAAUCUGCCUGGUAGUGGGGGAUAACGCUCGGAAACGGACGCUAAUACCGCAUACGUCCUACGGGAGAAAGCAGGGGACCUUCGGGCCUUGCGCUAUCAGAUGAGCCUAGGUCGGAUUAGCUAGUUGGUGAGGUAAUGGCUCACCAAGGCGACGAUCCGUAACUGGUCUGAGAGGAUGAUCAGUCACACUGGAACUGAGACACGGUCCAGACUCCUACGGGAGGCAGCAGUGGGGAAUAUUGGACAAUGGGCGAAAGCCUGAUCCAGCCAUGCCGCGUGUGUGAAGAAGGUCUUCGGAUUGUAAAGCACUUUAAAGUUGGGAGGAAGGGCAGUAAAUUAAUACUUUGUCUGUUUUGACGUUACCGACAGAAUAAAGCACCGGCUAACUCU
rnacentral:rRNA from 1 species